GGGGAAUCUUGCGCAAUGGGCGAAAGCCUGACGCAGCAACGCCGCGUGAACGAAGAAGGCCUUCGGGUCGUAAAGUUCUGUCAGGGGGGACGAAGUUUUGACGGUACCCCCGGAGGAAGCCCCGGCUAACUACGUGCCAGCAGCCGCGGUAACACGUAGGGGGCAAGCGUUGUCCGGAAUUACUGGGCGUAAAGGGCGUGUAGGCGGCCUUUCAAGUCAGGUGUGAAAUUCCAGGGCUCAACCCUGGGCGUGCACUUGAAACUGGGGGGCUUGAGUGCAGGAGAGGAAAGUGGAAUUCCCAGUGUAGCGGUGAAAUGCGUAGAUAUUGGGAGGAACACCAGUGGCGAAGGCGACGUUCUGGCCUGUAACUGACGCUGAGGCGCGAAAGCUAGGGGAGCAAAC
rnacentral:rRNA from 1 species